GAGCUUGGAGCCGCAGGGCUUAAUCCCGCGCGGCUCAGAGAUGGGUUUCUGGACUCGCGAAGCAGCUGCAACAAGGCAUCACUCACUGUAUAAGUAUUUCCAUUUCUGAGAGCAAAAGGAAGAACUUAAGCGGGCGGCACUUGGAGUGUAAAUUGCUUUGUAGUAUUUAAAGGCAGAAUGGAUCCUGGGCAGCCGAGCUGAUCAUGAGGUUCCUGAGGCCUCCUAGCCAUGCUUCCUGUGCAGCCUAUGGAACUGAUCACUGUUGUAUUUUUAAACCUUAUUCCUGGAAGCACUACGGAUAUCAGAUCAAUUUAGAAAGCCAAAGAGUACCUCUGGGAAUGAAAUGGUAGUAAUAGAAACAAUAUUUGGCCAAACUAUCGCUGUAUGCCAAUGAUGCCAAAAAUCACAGUAACCUGGCAGCAACAAACCGGCAGGACUUCCUGUGAAAUCAUGACCACCAUGUGCUCUUUCAGCCUCUAUCAGUUCCUACCUCUAAGCACCUGAGAGCCAAAGCAAACCACAGGAAACCACAGACUCAAACUAAACGUCAGCUUUUCCCGGCUCUCAAGCCUGCUGGUCCCUGAACUAAAACUCACAUUAUCAACUCUACUGGUUCUUAGGCCUUUGGAGUCAGACUGGAACUACAGCAUUGACUCUUCCGGAACUCCAGCUUACUGACUACAGAUCUUGGAACUUUUCAGCUUCCACAACCAUAAUGAAAGCCAAGCAUAUUCCAUCAUUUCCUAAAACCAAGAUAGAGCACAUAUGGGAACUUGUGAAAUAAGGAUGCCCUGCGGUUGUUUUCAGGACUGAAGACAACAGCUCCACGAUGUAUCUUUGCAUAAGAAUACACUUGUAUAAUAAGUUUUUUUUUUUAGAGAAAUUGCAUGUAUCUGCCUUAUAAACUUUUUCAUUCAUUCAUUUUCUUUCUUCCUAAUCUGUUCCAUAAAGCAAAUUUCUAACUUAUUGUUAAUCAAAAUAAUUAUUGAAAUAAUUAGUACUUUCAUAUGAUAAAGAUUAUUUUAAUCUGCAGCUACAAAAUAUGUAACUCAUUAAUAUUUAAACAAUCACAAUUUUCUAUUAACAUUAUAGCAUUUUAUCUACUACUAGAUCAGGAAUUAGCUAUUUUUUGUAAAAUUUCUUUGUAAGGCAAAGCAAUAGUAUUGUAUAUACUUUCCUAAAGAUUGUCAAGUUCAGUUUUGCUUAAAUUUAACAGUACAUGUGACACUUUCUGUUUGAAGAAUAAGUUGGUUUUAAGUUUAUACCAAACAAAAGCAUCUCUUUUGUUUUGCAAAAUCUGAAACUUUGAUCUUUCUAGUUGUGACUUCUUGUAAAUAUGUUUUAUAUAAAUAUUCUAUGAAUUGGUUAUUAACAAGGUAAAGAAAGAUUGAUAUGUAAGCUGAUUCUUAAACAUUAAUUUUCUGGAGAUAAACUUUUUUAAAAUUAUGCUUUAAAAAUAUUUUAACACAUGUUAUCAAAAAGGAACUGAAAUAUCUUAGGCAUAAAAGACAUCUCUAGAGGUCAUUAUUCAGUUUCCAGAAAGUACUGAAACUAUCUCUGACAGAUUGAUACGUUUUCUGCAUUUAUAGCUCUCUGGAGAGAGGUUCUGUAUAUUUAACAAUUCUCACUGUGAGGGAUAUUUUAAGUAUUUCAAAUUUAAAGUGCUCAUGUUUCAGAUUCAGAUUAUUAUUAUCAUCAUCAUUAUUUUGGUUCUGGCUUCAGUAAAAAUGUGAAAAACACUUUUCCAUCUUCUGAUAAUAUUUCAUAUUUAUAAAAUUAUUAUUAAGUUAUAACUCAGCUUUUUCAUUUAUGCUUUAAAUCCUUUUAUUAUCUCAUCACAACCAUCUUUGACUGUUUAUCAGAAAUGGUUCUCUUUUGUACAUUGACCAUUAUUUUAUAGAUCACAUUUAAGUUAAUAUAAAUCAUGCCUAUAAAUUUCAGCCUGCUUAUUUUUUAUAAUCUAGUCAGAUAUCAGCUAGACAUAUUGUUACCAAGUUUGGAGAGCCUUGGGAUAAGCUAGUUUCAAAACUGGCUGUUAGCAUCCCUCAGUUGUGUUUUGGGAGCAAAGGACACCCUUAAAAAAGGGAGGCAGUUAUAUUUUGUGAGCAUUAUAAAAUAAACUUAAAUUCUCAUAAAAUUAGUGAAUAUGUUUGGAACAGUGUGAAUUACGUGUGUGCUACAUGAAGUAUAUAGAAUUCAUUUGAAGUAGGAAGUCUGGCCUUACCUCAAAAGACAGUCAUUCAAUUAAGCAGUUAAACAUAAGCCACCAUAAGAAGUUUUUUUGAUACUUAGAGAGAGAAAGGCAACGUGUAUUAAAAUUCCGGGACCAUUAUCUCAGGAGUGCUGUGUUAUUAUUGACUGGGGGCCUGCUGGGAAGCUAGAAAUAUAUCUAAAAUGUGGCAGGUGGUUAAUUAGAGCAUAUGAAUAAAUAUAUAUAAAUUUGUUAAAGCGUUCACUUAUGGUAAACUAUACCUCAAUUAAAAAGAAAAAAUAUGCACAAAGAAAAUAAAUAAUGAAUGGAAAUAUGAGCCUCUAAAAUCAAAGUUAGAAAAGCAGAUAUUCAAAUUUGCAGAGCUGAUUGUCAACUGGAAUGAUUGUGAUAGAAUCAAGUCUCACUAGCUCAUUGGAAAUAGGAUUUGUUAAGGUAAUGAUGGUUAAUGAUUUUUCAGCAUAAUAACAGCCAAGUUAAUGUAUGGGUGCGUGUGUGUAUCCAUAGGUGUAUGUUUUUACAUGCGUAUUUUUAUUGUAAAAUUAACAUGUUUAUUGAAAACAAGAAAGCACAGAAAAUAUCAACUUAAGUAAAGAUCAACAUAAUUUAGUUCAAAAUUAUAUUCAACAGUGCAUUAUUUCAAUGUUUUUUAUCUUAAUCCAUUUGCUUGAAAGCAUUGAUAUAUGCUCCAAAUUUCCUCCCAGAUUCCACUUGGGGAAAUAUUUAGUAUAUUGGAUUAUGAAAUGAUUUAUCUUUACCUAUAUUAUUAGUAAAGUUCUUAAAAUUUUUAGCCUGUUACUGUCUAUGUGAUUAGUGAUAUUGUUCACAUGACUAAAAUUCAAAGAUAAAAUAUGAUUAUAUUUUAUGGGUGAAAGUUAGGAAGCAAAAUAGCAUAUUAAUACAUUUAACUAAAGUAGUAUUCAUUUGGAUAAUCAAGGUCAAACACUUCAAAAAUAAUAAUUUUAAAGUUAAUGCUUUCAAAAAAUAAAUUAGCAAAAAUUAUUUACUUUGUUUCUUAAAAAGAAGAAUUAUUGAAAAAAAUUCUACCAUCAAAAAAUAGUUGUUCUAUGCCUAGUUUAUUUUAGUCACUGAAUAAGACUGAGCCCUUGACCUCAUAUUUUUUCCUGCCUCACCAUUAGCAGUUAGGUUUAGCUAUGCAAACCUUUAUUUAUUCAACAUAUAUAAAAUACUUAGUAUGCAGUAGAUGUUAUUCUAAGUGCUUGGUAGAUAUCAACACAUUUAAUAAUCAAAACAACUCUAAGAGGUAAUUAGUACUAUUAUCUCCAUUUUAUUACUGAGGAAACCAAAGCACAAAGAGAGAAAGAAAAGAAAGAGAAAAAAGGAAGAAAGAAAAGAAAGAUGAAAGAAAGAAAGAGAAAGAAGAGAGAGGGAGAGAGAGAAAGAAAGAGAAGGAAAGAAAGAAGGAAGAAGAAAGAAAGAAAGAAAGAAAGAAAGAAAGAAAGAAAGAAAGAAAGAAAGAAAGAAAGAAAGAAAGAAAGAAAAAAGGAAGGAAGGAAAAGAAACACAUGGAAAGUGACAGGCUCCCUUUGUAUAUCACCUUGCAUGGUAAAGUGCAGAGAGCUCCAUCAGAGAAAUGCAGUUAAAAUCCAGUAGAUACCACCGUACACCUGAAAGACUUGUGAACAAACAGAUGACAGAAAAACAAAACAAAGCAAAACAGAACCUGAGAAUUUGAAUUGCUGCUUCUUUGGACCUUUUAAGUUGCAUUAUCCCAUAAAAUGUGGUGGAUUCAAUGUUGUAUGGCCUGUAAAACUAAGUAAUGAAGGCUGAUAUGUACCCACCUGGCUCUGUCUUGGGAUCACACAACUUGGGAGCCAAAACAGAUUGCAAAUGAUGUUCAAAUCAAGGACUGGCUUAAGGGAGAAAAUCAAUUAUACUGUACAACUCACACUUAAGACCUCAGAGAGAUCUAAGAUGAUUCUUUAUAUAAUUUUUAAAACAAUCACCCCUCUAAGGAGCAUAACAAUGUGUUUUAAAUGUCCUCCCCAUUAUACAGUGAGACUUAUAAGAAUCUCAAGGAUGGUGUCCCAAGGCAAACUCAUGGCAAGAUCAAGAAAGAGAAUGGCCUGUCUUGACAAGAUUUGUGGUUUUGGCUUUCGUCUGAUGGAAUGAAUUGUACACAAAUACACAGAAAUCCCACAAAUAUUAAAAUAAUUGUAUCAACUUGUAAGAAAAAGGGAAAGAAAUAGCUUAAAAUGGAAUAUUGCUAAGCCCUCAAACCUUUACAAGCAGGAAAUAGGUGUAAACAGGCUUAGGAAAAUGGAAGGUGGACUCAGGGCAGAUUGAGGAGAUCUUGGAGUGCAGCAAAGAGCCAUAGAGAGCAAUUUCCAGGGAGUAGGACUGAACUCUAACCAAAUAAUUGGCAGCAUGUGCCUGGCAUUUCAGGAUUGACAUGGACCGGUGACUACUGUGUUCCUUCCCAUUCCCCACCCUUUUGUGUAGGAUUGUCUGUAGCAGUUUCCCAAUGCCUGUUCCUCCACUUGACGUUGGGUAUUUGGAGAACAAGAAAAAUUCUCUUUUUAGGUCAGAUGUGUGACAUGUAUCACAUUGUAAAAAAGAGUGCUCAAUGAGCUGUAUUUCAGGAAUUGCACUUAAGGGGAAUUAUUUUUACCUAUAUUGGAUUAAUAUGAUAAGAUUUUGAACUUUGAGCUUAUGUAAUUAUGAAGUGAGACCUUUAGUCUUGGGGAAUGACUGUAUUUUAUAUGCGAGAGGUAUAUAAAUCACUGUGGCCUGAAGAUAGACUGUGGCAGAUUGUAUUUUUCAAAGAUUUCCUGUCACACUUUUUUUUUAUUCUUUAUUUUUCUCUUUCUUUCUCUUUCCUCUUUCUCUUUCCCUUCCUCCCUUCCUUCCUUCUUUCCUUCCUUCCUUCCUUCCUUCCUUCCUUCCUUCCUUCCUUCCUUCCUUCUUUUCUUUCUUUCUUUCUGAGAGGGUCUCACUCUGUUUCCUGGCUAGAGUGGUGUCACAUUCAUAGCUCACUGUAGCUCAAACUCCUGAGUGCAAACAAUCCUCCUACAUCAGCCUCCCAAGUAGCUUGGACCACAGGUGUGCAUCCACUCCUGGCUAAUUUUUUAAUUUUAAUUUUUGUAGAGACGGGGUCUCACUUUGUUGCUCAGACUGAUCUUGAAUUCCUGGCUUCAAGAGAUCCUGCUGCCUCAACCUCUAAACUUGCUGGGAUUGCAGGUGUGAACCACCAUGCCCAGCUACUUUCUUUUUCUUACAAUAUGCCUUUGAUGCUCUUCCCAUCAAGAGGUAUUCCUUUCCCUUGAAUAUGGGCAAGGCUGUGAUUAUUAAUGCUAUAUGACUUUUGAGAGUAGGUCAUGAAGCAUGAUACAUUUUCCUAGUUCAUUUAGGAUGCUUGCUCUUAAUACCUAGCCCCUAUGCUUGUAUAAGUCCAAGAGACCUGUUGUGGGGAGGCUCACAUGAAGAAGAACGCAGGCACCUAGCCUACAGUCUGAUUGAGCUCUCAUCUGAUAACCCAUAAGAACUUGAGAGCCUUGUGAGUAAACCAUCUUGAAUCUUUCAGGACCCAGUUGAAACACUUCAGCUGAUGCUGCAUGGAUCAUUGCGGAUUUGUGAGCAAAAUAAAUUAAUAUAGCUUUUUGUUUUAAUUAAACAAUAUUUUUUGAGACAAGAUCUCAUUUUGUCACCCAGGUGGGAGUACAGUGGCACAUUCACAGAUCACUGUAGCCUCAAAUUCCUAAGCACAGGAGGUCCUCCCACCUCAGCCUCCCCAGUAGCUGAGACCACAGCAUGUGCCACUGUGUCUGGCUAAUUUUUUAUUUUUUUGUAGAAACGGAGUCUUGCUAUGUUGCCCAGGCUGGCCUCAUGUGAUCCACUUGCCUCAGUCUUCCAAAUUGUUGGGAUUACAAGUGUGAGGCACUGCACUGAGCCCAAUAUUCCUUUUUAAGCUACUAAGUUUUGGACUGAUUUGCUUCCCAGCAGUAUACGAUUGAUAAAACACAGAAUAUAGAAUAAAAUUAAUCUCUUAUGUUGUCCUAUGAGGCUUUGUGAGAUUUAGUUUCUACCAACACCCCAAAGUCAUGUCAUACCAUUUUUCACUGUGCUUACUUUGCUUCACUGACUUUUCUCCUGUUUUCUAAAACUAGCUAGUUCUUAUCUUCAGGCUUUGUCAUUGUCAUUCCCUGCUGAGAAUAUUGUCUGUCCAAAUCUUGUAAUUCAGACUCAAAAAUAGUCUGUGGCCACUCAAUCUAAAGUAACCCACCACAAACUCUAGCCCAUCUCCCUAUUUAUUUUCAUCAUGAUAUUUAUAUCUAUCUCAUCUAAAUUUUAUCUAUUUGUCAUCUAUCUAAUUGAAAUUUCAUGUUUCUUUACUACUAAUACGCAAGCUCUGUUAAGACAGAAGUAUUUAGUUUAAUUAGAUCCCAUUUGUCAAUUUUGGUUUUUGUUGCCAUUGCUCUUGGUGUUUUAGACAUGAAGUCUUUGCCCAUGCCUAUGUUCUGAAUGGUAUUGCCUAGGUUUUUGUCUAGGAUUUUUAUGGUUUUAGGUCUAACAUUUAAGUCUUUAAUCCAUCUUGAAUUAAUUUUUGUAUAAGGCGUAAGGAAGGGAUCCAGUUUCAGCUUUCUACAUAUGGCUAGUCAGUUUUCCCAGCACUAUUUCUUAAACAGGGAAUCCUUUCCCCGUUUCUUGUUUUUGUCAGGUUUGUCAAAGAUCAGAUAGUUGUAGAUAUGUGGCAUUAUUUCUGAGGGCUCUGUUCUAUUCCAUUGGCCUAUAUCUCUGUUAUAGGGACACUUUUACACUGUUGGUGGGACUGUAAACUAGUUCAACCACUGUAGAAGUCAGUGUGGCGAUUCCUCAGGGAUCUAGAACUAGAAAUACCAUUUGACCCAGCCAUCUCAUUACUGGGUACAUACCCAAAGGAUUAUAAACCAUGUUGCUAUAAAGACACAUGCACACGUAUGUUUAUUGUGGCACUAUUCAUAAUAGCAAAGACUUGGAACCAACCCAAAUGUCCAACAAUGAUAGACUGGAUUAAGAAAAUGUGGCACAUAUACACCAUGGAAUACUAUGCAGCCAUAAAAAAUGAUGAGUUCAUGUCCUUUGUAGAGACAUGGAUGAAGCUGGAAACCAUCAUUCUCAGCAAACUAUUGCAAGGACAAAAAACUGAACACCACAUGUUCUCACUUGUAGGUAGGAAUUGAACAAUGAGAACACAUGGACACAGGAAGGAGAACAUCACACACCGGGGCCUGUUGUGAGGUGGGGGGAGCGGGGAGGGAUAGCAUUUGGAGAUAUACCUAAUGUAAAUGACGAGUUAAUGGGUGCAGCACCCCAACAUGGCACAUGUAUACAUAUGUAACAAACCUGCACGUUGUGCACAUGUACCCUAGAACUUAAAGUAUAAUAAAAAAAAAAGAAAAAAAAGAAAGACAGAAGUAUUGUUCAUCUUGUUUUCUUCCCUAAUCACGUUACCUAGA
rnacentral:lncRNA from 1 species